UACGGGGGGGGCAAGCGUUGUUCGGAAUUACUGGGCGUAAAGGGCUCGUAGGUGGCCAACUAAGUCAGACGUGAAAUCCCUCGGCUUAACCGGGGAACUGCGUCUGAUACUGGAUGGCUUGAGAUUGGGAGAGGGAUGCGGAAUUCCAGGUGUAGCGGUGAAAUGCGUAGAUAUCUGGAGGAACACCGAUGGCGAAGGCAGGUCUCUGGGCAUUAACUGACGCUGAGGAGCGAAAGCGUGGGGAGCAAACAGG
rnacentral:rRNA from 1 species